GGUAUUUGUGCUUCACACUGCGACUCCAGUCUUCCUUUAGCGACUUGCUGAUGACCUGCAUCUUCUCAAAGCGUCUGAUACGAUCGUGCAUUAGCCUGGACAGAAACGAAACCACGAGAAGAAGAAACUCGUUCAUGUAACGAUGCUGCUGGAUACUCCUGGGAGGCGUGAGUGGCCGAGCCGGGAAGAUGAACGAAUUCUACAGAAAACCCAGAAACUGACAUGAAGCGGAGCCAGCUCCUUCUCUGACAUUUGAAGGUUGAAUGCAGCCACCUGCUUCGCUCUUUCACGCCGUUCUUUCAGUUUCACCUACCAGAAAAAGCAAAACAAAAAAGCCUUAUCAGAAAGUCCAUAAUGAGAAGAAAAACAAACAAUAAAUAAUAAAAACAUUAUAAGUAAAACAUAUCAAACUCACCAAAUUAACUUUAGACAACUUUUUGGAUUCCUAAACAUAUCGUUAACAACAUUGUGAUAUGUUGUUGUGGGUGAUUUGUUAA